AUUGAACGCUGGCGGCAGGCCUAACACAUGCAAGUCGAGCGGGGUUUUCGGACCUAGCGGCGGACGGGUGAGUCAUGCGUUGGAAGCGACCCGAUAGAGGGGGAUCCCAGUGGGACACGACUGUUAAUACCGCAUAAUGUCUACGGACCAAAGUGUGUGACUUUCGGCCCACAUGCUAUCCGAUGCGCGUACGUGUUAUUAGCUAGUUGGUGAGUUAAUGGCCAACCAAGGCGACGAUCCCUAGCUGGUUUGAGAGGCUGAUCAGCCACACUGGAACUGAGACACGGUCCAGACUCCUACGGGAGGCAGCAGUGGGGAAUAUUGGACAAUGGGCGCAAGCCUGAUCCAGCCAUGCCGCGUGUGUGAAGAAGGCCUUCGGGUUGUAAAGCACUUUCAGUAGGGAGGAAGCGUUGUGUGUUAAUAGUACACAGCGUUGACGUUACCUACAGAAGAAGCACCGGCUAACUCUGUGCCAGCAGCCGCAGUAACAC
rnacentral:rRNA from 1 species